UUUCGGUUUCGAAAACUUGUCUUUUCGUACCUGAUUGUCCUAUUCUGAAGCUUUAAUGCUUUGUCUAUCGUUUAUGUAUUGUUUUGCGAUCGAACUAAUCGAUUUUGUUUGAAUUCUGCUUUGUUUUUCUCCGAGGUUCAGUUGAAGGAACUUUGGAAGACUCAGAGCAAUUGUUUGAGGAGAACUUUGUUUGCGAAGCUGGAACAGCUCGAGAUGUCGAUGGCCGACUGGUGUUCGAUGGUCUCUCCCUCGGGGGGGAUCAGAUAUGAGCUUGUGGAUCGGGAUGCCCCCACCGCUUGGGUGAUCGAUGUUGUGGGUCAUCGAGCGACGUACCGGGGAAGGGUCAUGGAGGACCGGACUGACGAGUGUGAACAUCUGACGAAAGGAGUUCUACGACGCAUGGAGCUGAGCUUCAACUUGCCGUCUUCAGUUCGCCGAGGACUCGGAUGUGUGAGCAGUUAUGGGUUGGUAGAGUUAGGCAGGUGUCAUAUUUGUGUAGAGCUCUGAUUCGUUUUGCUUUUGGGACGGGGUAGGUUCCCGACGCAUGGCUUUUGUGUGGUUCUCUUAUUGAGGGAUCACAGUGAGUCAGUCGGACUAUAGGGGUCUUUGCUUAGGCCAUUUUGAGGCCGACUUUCUCCCAGUGGAUUGUAAUUAUAACCUUUUCACUCACACUUCUGGAUCUGUAACUAUUUGCCUACGGGCACACUACUUUGGAGUCACUGCGAGUGCGCGUGACAUGGGAGUGCAGCUGAGGCUGUACAUGUGUAUAUAUUUGUGUGUUGGUUAGUUUAGUGGUUGGGUUUUGUCUUUAUUUUCUAUUGCUUGAUUUAAAAGGUAUCAAACGAAAAAAAAUUACCUGUUUUCA